UUUUAUGGAGAGUUUGAUCCUGGCUCAGGAUGAACGCUGGCGGCGUGCCUAAUACAUGCAAGUCGAGCGAACGGACGAGAAGCUUGCUUCUCUGAUGUUAGCGGCGGACGGGUGAGUAACACGUGGAUAACCUACCUAUAAGACUGGGAUAACUUCGGGAAACCGGAGCUAAUACCGGAUAAUAUUUUGAACCGCAUGGUUCAAAAGUGAAAGACGGUCUUGCUGUCACUUAUAGAUGGAUCCGCGCUGCAUUAGCUAGUUGGUAAGGUAAUGGCUUACCAAGGCAACGAUGCAUAGCCGACCUGAGAGGGUGAUCGGCCACACUGGAACUGAGACACGGUCCAGACUCCUACGGGAGGCAGCAGUAGGGAAUCUUCCGCAAUGGGCGAAAGCCUGACGGAGCAACGCCGCGUGAGUGAUGAAGGUCUUCGGAUCGUAAAACUCUGUUAUUAGGGAAGAACAUAUGUGUAAGUAACUGUGCACAUCUUGACGGUACCUAAUCAGAAAGCCACGGCUAACUACGUGCCAGCAGCCGCGGUAAUACGUAGGUGGCAAGCGUUAUCCGGAAUUAUUGGGCGUAAAGCGCGCGUAGGCGGUUUUUUAAGUCUGAUGUGAAAGCCCACGGCUCAACCGUGGAGGGUCAUUGGAAACUGGAAAACUUGAGUGCAGAAGAGGAAAGUGGAAUUCCAUGUGUAGCGGUGAAAUGCGCAGAGAUAUGGAGGAACACCAGUGGCGAAGGCGACUUUCUGGUCUGUAACUGACGCUGAUGUGCGAAAGCGUGGGGAUCAAACAGGAUUAGAUACCCUGGUAGUCCACGCCGUAAACGAUGAGUGCUAAGUGUUAGGGGGUUUCCGCCCCUUAGUGCUGCAGCUAACGCAUUAAGCACUCCGCCUGGGGAGUACGACCGCAAGGUUGAAACUCAAAGGAAUUGACGGGGACCCGCACAAGCGGUGGAGCAUGUGGUUUAAUUCGAAGCAACGCGAAGAACCUUACCAAAUCUUGACAUCCUUUGACAACUCUAGAGAUAGAGCCUUCCCCUUCGGGGGACAAAGUGACAGGUGGUGCAUGGUUGUCGUCAGCUCGUGUCGUGAGAUGUUGGGUUAAGUCCCGCAACGAGCGCAACCCUUAAGCUUAGUUGCCAUCAUUAAGUUGGGCACUCUAAGUUGACUGCCGGUGACAAACCGGAGGAAGGUGGGGAUGACGUCAAAUCAUCAUGCCCCUUAUGAUUUGGGCUACACACGUGCUACAAUGGACAAUACAAAGGGCAGCGAAACCGCGAGGUCAAGCAAAUCCCAUAAAGUUGUUCUCAGUUCGGAUUGUAGUCUGCAACUCGACUACAUGAAGCUGGAAUCGCUAGUAAUCGUAGAUCAGCAUGCUACGGUGAAUACGUUCCCGGGUCUUGUACACACCGCCCGUCACACCACGAGAGUUUGUAACACCCGAAGCCGGUGGAGUAACCUUUUAGGAGCUAGCCGUCGAAGGUGGGACAAAUGAUUGGGGUGAAGUCGUAACAAGGUAGCCGUAUCGGAAGGUGCGGCUGGAUCACCUCCUUUCU
rnacentral:rRNA from 1 species